GGGGAUUUAGCUCAGUGGCGUAAGCACCUGCCUUGCAAGCAGGCAGUCCUGUGUUUGAUCCCCG
rnacentral:tRNA from 1 species